rnacentral:lncRNA from 1 species
GUUAGGCCCAGCCCUUCUUAAAAGAAAAAAAAAAUAGGCCCAUAAAUAUAUUUUAUAUAAAAAGGUACCUAAACUUAUCUUUUCCCCUUUGUUAUUUAUUUAUCCGCUCACUGAGUAGUUGUACUCACCCUUAUAUUUCUUUUAAUAUUACAGUUUCUUUUUGGUGAUCUACUCGGCAGUCCUCAUCUUCUUGUUUGUCCUUCCUUCCAUAUCGUCCACUCAGAGUCUAGAGGAGGUCGGACCAAUCCUAAGUUUUUUUUGUCUUUUCUUUUUCUCUUUUAUGCUUAAUGGUUUGGAAUUAUGGCAGGUUACCUGUUUUUAUAUUAUAAAUAUCAGGGGAGGUUCUGUCAGUUUUCCUGGUCAUAUCCAUCUUUACAGUUUUGGGGUUUGGGUGUGACAAGUUUUGGUAUCAGAGAUUUUAUAUAAAAAGGAAAUUAUUUAAAAAAAAAAAAAAAAGAAAAAGUGGGCAUUAAAGCUCCGGUUUCGGGAAUGUCCCAAAACAUUCCCGAAACAGAGCAUUCGUCUUCCACCCCCAGAAAACAGAGCGAAAGCUCUGUUAUUUUUUUAAAAAAAAAAUCUCCUCCUUAACUCAAAUCUCUUCCUCCUCAACCCAAUCAACUCACAAACUUCUAAGAUCCUUCAGCUAGAUCCUGAGUUAAACCUAUAUUCCGCUCAGAAAUUCAAUAAUUUCUUCUAGAGACUCCAAAAUUGGAUAGG